rnacentral:misc_RNA from 1 species
CAGAGAAAAAAUUUGAAGAGACAAACAAAAUAAGCGAAGAAAGAUUGAAGCAAGCUUUGGAGGCAGAGUCGAGAAUAGUUGAACUGAAGACUGCUAUGCAUAGGCUGGAAGAAAAAUUUUCUGACAUGGAAACUGAGAACCAAAUUCUUCGGCAGCAAUCUUUGCUUCAGACACCUGUUAGGAAGACAUCAGAGCGGCCACCUAUUGCAACUCAGGGUAUGGAAAAUGGUCACCAUGUGAAUGACGAGCACAAAGCCAAAGAACCACAAAGUACAACACCUGUAAAGAU